rfam:Myotis lucifugus cont2.9295, whole genome shotgun sequence.
GCUGGUUUGGCUCAGUGGGUAGAGCGUUGGCCUGUGGACCAAAGGAUCUCAGGUUUGAUUCCUGUCAAGGGCA